rnacentral:sRNA from 1 species
UUUUGUAUUUUUAGUAGAGAUGGGGUUUCUCCAUGUUGGUCAGGCUGGUCUCGAACUCCCGACCUCAGAUGAUCUGCCCGCCUCAGCCUCCGAAAAUGCUGGGAUUACAGGUGUGAGCCACCGUGCCUGGCCAAUGUUUAUCAACAUUCUUUUGACUCCAUCACAUCUGAGGGAUAUGGUACAUAUUUCCACCAGAAACAGUGAAUCAUUAAGGCAUUGAUUCUAACGUGUGGGACAGAAUUGGCAAUUGAUAUGUCAGUUUCUUCUUUAAAACAAUAACAAUAUGUUCUCCCCUUUUGAAUUUCCUCUAGGCCAUACUGGAGAUGUUACUAUUCAAACACAGAUGCAGUCAUUUAUGUAGUAGACAGUUGUGACCGAGACCGAAUUGGCAUUUCCAAAUCAGAGUUAGUUGCCAUGUUGGAGGAAGAAGAGCUGAGAAAAGCCAUUUUAGUGGUGUUUGCAAAUAAACAGGACAUGGAACAGGCCAUGACUUCUUCAGAGAUGGCAAAUUCACUUGGGUUACCUGCCUUGAAGGACCGAAAAUGGCAAAUAUUCAAAACAUCAGCAACCAAAGGCACUGGCCUCGAUGAGGCAAUGGAAUGGUUAGUUGAAACAUUAAAAAGCAGACAGUAAUUCAGUCCAUUCUUCUCCCCUGAAAUGAAGACUACAUCACCUCUCUCCCUUUGGAAACAGUCAAGUGUACUUCACACUACUAGAUGUUAAAACUAUAUGAUUAUUGGCAUAUACUGACUGACUGCAAUGUUUG